UACAGAGGGUGCAAGCGUUAAUCGGAAUUACUGGGCGUAAAGCGUGCGUAGGCGGAUAAUUAAGUCAGAUGUGAAAGCCCUGGGCUCAACCUAGGAACUGCAUCUGAUACUGGUUAUCUAGAGUAUGGUAGAGGAUGGCGGAAUUUCUGGUGUAGCGGUGAAAUGCGUAGAUAUCAGAAGGAACAUCAGUGGCGAAGGCGGCCGUCUGGGCCAAUACUGACGCUGAGGCACGAAAGCGUGGGGAGCGAACAGG
rnacentral:rRNA from 1 species